GAAAAGCCCACGGCUUAACCGUGGAGGGUCAUGUGAAACUGGUGUACUUGAGUGCAGAAGAGGGAAGUGGAAUUCCAUGUGUAGCGGUGAAAUGCGUAGAGAUAUGGAGGAACACCAGUGGCGAAGGCGGCUUCCUGGUCUGCAACUGACACUGAGGCGCGAAAGCGUGGGGAGC
rnacentral:rRNA from 1 species